AUUAUUUUUCUCUUUCUAUCCCAAUCUCAUUGUAGAAAUUCUCGUCAGAAACAAGGUUCGUCCUUUUGUGUUAGUAAACAAGAAUAGAUUUUGAUUGUACCCUCGCUAAUCUUAUUAUUAAAAAAAAUCAAUUCUUUGGCAAGCUUCAUUUUGCAAAAAGAUUGGAUCUUUGUCAAGCUUCUUCUGCAAAAAAGAUCAGAUUUUUGGCAAGCUUCAUUUUGCAAAAAGAUCGGAUCUUUGACCUGCAAAAAGAUUAGAUCUUUGGGGUUUUGGCUUGAUUAGCAUAUCAGGUGCUUUAAUUGAUUCUUUUACUGUAAGAUCCGUUUCAGAAAAGUGGAAACAAAUUGAGGUUGGGUUCUGAUUUGAUUAAUUUUGUUGGACGUGGGUAGGUUUACAUAGAGGAACAUUGGGAUAAUUUGGAAUUACAUGUAAUUUUCACUUUGAUUGCUGAAUUUAAUAACAUGAGCUUAUUUCAAGUUGAGAUAAUUUGGGAAAUGUUAUUUUUCUCUACAAUGUAAGCCAGCAUGUUCUUAUUUCUUUCUUUCUUUCUUUUCUUCAUUGAUUUUUUUUUUUGUUCGACGAAGCUAAACCCCAUAAUGUAUUGUUGCUUGCAGAGAAAAUGAAAUGUGAGCUUCAAUUUGCUUGGAUUGCAUAUGUUGGAGGAUUAAUCUAAAUGCUAUUAAGAUGUAAGAAAACUACCAUAGUGGGUUGGCCAUGCUGCUUCAUGGAUAAAAGAUUUAUAAGGUUCAUUAUUGGUAAUAGAAGAUUUCUGAAGAUGAUGUUCUGAACCAAUAUCUUCUCUAAGCAGGUAUACUCUAGAUACUUGUUGUUUAGUCAUCUCAAGUUGGAUGUAAAACUGUUUUAACUUGCUACCGCUUUGUUUGGUAAAUCUGAUAAGCUUGUGCAUUUGUUUAAUUUGACAAACACAGUGAGACUUCUAAUGAAAUAACAUUCGC
rnacentral:lncRNA from 1 species